UAAAGAUCCUCACCUGUUCCACUGUGAUUGUGACUUGCUGUUGGCGUCUUCCUCAAGAAUUCCUCCAAAAAUCUUUAAAUCUAUUGAUUUGAUUGCUGGAAUCACUGGCAUUGUUUACCUGGACCGUCACCGGGAUUCUGUUAGUGCUGAUUGUGGCUCAGUACGCCCCACUCUCUUCAAAAAGGUCGGGGUUUUUUUUCCCCUGUCGGAUCAGAUUCUCAUCUGGAUCGAAAGAUGGCGAGCUAGGAAUGGACUAUGGACUUUAUGAUUUGGAAAUCAACUUAUUCUGAGUCAAUUCUCAUGUGUCUCAUUGUGUUGUUGUAAUGUACGUUUUUUUUAUUCAAAUCACUUAAUAUAUAUAUUCACCAAAACUAAAAGCACUGCCUCCUGUUUUUUUCACACCUCAGGCUCCUUAAAGGCCACUCUUCUGACGCUGCUUUUGUAGCCUCAGUUAGCUGCUUAGCCCAUAACUGUU